rnacentral:rRNA from 1 species
GAACCACUUUUAACGGCCGCGGUAUCCUAACCGUGCAAAGGUAGCAUAAUCACUUGUCCCCCAAAUAGGGACUAGAAUGAAUGGCCAAACGAGGGCCUAACUGUCUCCUAUAGCCCGCCAAUAAACCUGAUCUCCCAGUACAAAAGCUGGAAUGAACACAUUAGACAAGAAGACCCUGUGGAGCUUUAAGCCCCGGUGUUAACACCCCACCAUUAACGCCCGCUUUUAGUUGGGGCGACUACGGAGCAAAACACAACCUCCACGACACAACCCACAUUUGGCCUUGGGCCCACACGUCUCGGGCCAAAAUUUUCGACCCAGUCCAACUGAUCACCGAACCAAGUUACCCCAGGGAUAACAGCGCCAUCCUCCUCAAGAGUUCAUAUCGCCAGGAGGGCUUACGACCUCGAUGUUGGAUCAGGACACCCCGGCGGUGCAGCCGCUGCCAAAGG